rnacentral:tRNA from 1 species
UCGGGAUAGCUCAGCUGGUAGAGCAGAGGACUGAAAAUCCUCCGUGUCACCAGNUUCAAAUAAA